GCGGGUGCGACUCCAGCCGCCCACCAGGCCGGGCCGGGCGUGGCAGGUCUCUGGGGGGAGCGCCCUCACCACGCCUGCUGGGUGCCACCACGCUCUCCCGAAGCUCGUCAGCCGCUGCGUCUGCUCAGAGGAAAGUGCAGGACGCCUCGCCUGCCAGCGGGUGCCCAGCCCCACCUCGCCCCGCGCCCGGGCUGUCUGAUGGCGCCCGUCCCAGGAGCUGACCUCGGCCAGCCUGGUCCACCACCGGCCUUUCCCGACCGGCGGCCCCGCCCCUCCACGACCCAGCGGGGCAUCACCUCCUGGCGUGGUCCUCCACUGACCCCCCCGGCCCCGGGACAGGGCACUUUGCCGUGUUUUCUGCCUGGGUCCUAAGUGUUACGUUAAUAUAGAGAUCUCCGAUGUAUACAGAGAACGGCCAGCGAAAGGAGGGGAGAGAAGAAGGAAGGGAAGGAGGAGCCGGCUGGGGUGUGGACCAGCAGGAGUGAGUCAGAAACGCACGGGCUGGAGCUGCGGUCUGAACACUUGUUAGCUGUUGUACAGGAAAGGCCACCUGAAGAACAGAGGCAGCGUUGAAUCCUCCUGAGGCCGCUCCUUUCCCAGCUUUGAAAUCAAACGAUCACAGCAAAUGUGCAUCACAGAUACUGCGAGGUUAAUCAUUAAAAUCACUUCAGGAAUUCUAAGUGAUUUCCAAGCACUGGCUAUAGGUGCAAUAAGGCAAUUUUUUAGAUAGUGUAGGCCUGUUAUUUUAGAGCAUAAGUAUU